GAAAGAGGAAAGGACAGGAGGAGAGACGAGAAAAAUAAUAGGGAGGAAGAGGAGAAGGAGAAAGGAGAGGAAAGCAAAAAGGAAGGAAGGAAAUAUGGAAGCCCUUUUGCUCCGUAUAAAACCUCCCUGAGCUCAGCAGACCGCUGCGUCAUUUUCUGCCUCAGCGCUGAAGCAGUUAACCAACACACACACACACACACACACUCACACACACACACACACACACACACACACACACACACACACACACACCUCUGCCAGUCAUAAAAUCCCUGGACCCUGCAGGGCAGAGCGUGACGAGGGCAGAGGGCGUCCCAGUGUGUGUGUGUGUGUGUGUGUGUGUGUGUGUGUGUGUGUGUGUCGGUGAGACAGAGACAUAUAAAGUAGCACAAAGAUAAAAAAAAAAACUGUCUUUAUGGUUGAAGUGUGAAAGUCCUGCCGGGCUGAGAGCAGAGGAGAAGAUUCGUCAGGUGAUGAAGGUAAACCUGAUGAAGAUGAUGGUUAUUCAGCCCAAAAUCACGCGUCACAGACGGAUUCUCAUCACUGAUGAGAAUUAUCUAAACUCAAGGUCAACUUACUAGCUUUUUCGGGAGCUUUUAAUCAUCUCUCACUGUUUUUAUCAGUGGAUGGAGUUUGCUCAGUUGAAUGAUGAAGGUCAAACGCUGAGAGAGACAGAGAGCUACAGGACGUAAACACACCAAACAGGAAGUUGUAAAGAGAGGAACACAACAGACUACAGCCCCCAAUCAAUGAUCAAUUACUGGACGGAGAUGCUGUUAUAAUCAAAUAAGAAAAGGAAGGAACGAGCUGCUGAAAAAGCUGUUUUUAUCUUCGGAGGGAGUCGUGGUCCCCUUCCACGAGUCCGCCUGUUAUUAAAUUGGAAGAGGUGAACUUCCUGCAGCACCUGCCUUCAUUCAGAACCUCUUGGAAACACCUGACAGUCGUGCUGUGGCGCACGAGAGGACUCGAGCGUUUACGCGAUAAUCUUUCAGCAGAGUUUAAAGCGGCUCUGUCAAGUAGAAUUGGAAGUAAAAGUCUUUUAGAGUAAUUAAGUCGUAAUUGUUUUCAUUUCGACUGAGCUCUGAUUUUGCAGCUUCAGCUGGACGUAUGAAGAAGCUCUACCUGUCUGACACACCGCACCUGUUAUACAUACACAAACACACAUACAACAAAACACACACACACACAGACAGGGCCGAGGGGAUUAUGUUGUGCUGAGUGAUGUCCGUGUUCAGGAAUGUGCGUGCUUUAGAAAAAAUAAUGUGGGUCUUGUAUAUGUGUGUGUUGUACAAAGGCGCCUUUGUGACCAGGUUACACACCCCCCCCUUCAACACUGGAGAUACUGAGAGAUGUACCUCCAUCUCUCCAUCAUACCUGUUCUAACCUGUGAAAACACACAACCUGACUGAGUAUAAACUACCACAGUGAUGCUACUUUGCUACAGCUGCUGGUUAUUUAUUCAUUCAUUAAAUUUUGCUGUCUAGUCACAGACAGAACUGGAUGUAAAAGUCUCUUUUGCAUAUUCCUCUGCAUCGAGAAGGCCAUGAAAAUUAAGCAAAUGAGAUGGAUUUAGAGAACAUGAAGUCAUCGUGUUUUUUUUUUUGUGUGUGAACUAACUGAUGUGUGACGUUGGAAAAAGAGACAUGCAAAGGUGGGAAAAGAGAUUGAAAAUGGCAAAAAGGAAGGAUACCCCUCUCCAAAACAGACACGAUCUGCUGCUGAUGUCUUCUGCUUUAGUACAAAAUCAUUUUGAAGCAAUUACCAGAAAAGUUCAUUUUGAUUUCUUUCUUUAUUUUUAAGUGGAGAAAAUGGCUAUAUAACUUGUUUUUUUUUUUUAAAUGAGAGUUCAUGCUAGCGGUUCUUUGGGGCUGUACUUGCUAACAUUAGCAUGCUAAGAUGCUCAAAAUGACAAUGCUAACUCGUUGACGUUUAGAAGAUUUACUAGUUAACCAUCUUAGUUUAGUUUGUUAGCAUGCUAACAUUUGAUUAUUAGCACUAAACACAAAAUGAUUCAUUAGUUUUGCAAGUAUUUAGUCAUAAUCCAAAGUGAGCGUCAGAAAGUGGUGGACCAACCGACAGGCCGACAGUCAUCCCUAAAGCCAUGCUGCUAGCAUAGCAAAAAAUCCCCAGCCUACGUCCUGGUAUUGAAACUGGCAACAGCCAUUGUUUGGUUUCAGUCUGAAUGAAGUGACGCUCAGUCGUGUAACUCCACCCUGAUAGUUCCUGGAUCAUCUGAGAGUCUUUCCGCAGGUUAUAGCAAAGACUGUUGGGGGCCAAAACCUGCAGGUGAAGCUCUAGCAAAGAACCGCUACAGGAAGCCUCCAACUGGUCCACAACGCUACAUGAGGAAUCUUGACUAACACUGUGAAAUCAGAACAGUUUUCUUCUGUCCUGGCUUCAUCGGUUACUCAGUGGACCUACAUGCCCUCUCGGCUCACUAAAAGGGUUUUUUGGAAACCUUCAGGGUUAGCGUAUCAUCAGAGAGGACAGAAUUAGUUGUCUGGCUGCAUCCAAAAGCAAGUACAGGUGAUUAAAUCAAGACUAAAAGCUGCCCUCAUUAUUUGAAAUAAUAGAUGUUUCCAGGUAGUAACUGUACUCCGGCUGAAGUAACUUCUGAGUACAGUGAAUAUUUGUACCUCACACCUCCCUCUCAGCUGUGUCUCACUGAUGACAGACACUCUGUCCCUGCCCGGCUACAUUUUUAGCCGCUGAAGUGAAAUUACUGUAAUUUUCUGGGGAGAAAAAGCUUCUAGCCGCCCGGCUAAUGGUCACCAUUACGGUUUCUUUUUCUGACAGCGAGCCAGACUGCAGAGAACCGGUUCUCUGUCCGUCAAAAUCCAGAACCAAGGUUUUGAUUGAAAACACCUGUUUUAAAUCAGUAAUCAUUUAAUGGAGCGUAACUGUAGCCGAGCAAACUGAUUAUGAGUGUUUAGAGUGAACGUUAGCAGAUCGGGUGAAAUGGAAAACGCCUUUUCGAUGGUGAUAAUGUCCUGUGUGUUUCUGGGUGUGUCGUUUUAGUGGAUUUUUAUAAUUUCAUCCAAGCAGUUGGCAUGGAUAAAAGUGAAAUUUUAGGAAAGGAGGUUGAUGGUCUGAUAAGUAUUGUGGUUGCAAGAGGGUGUUUUUCCUUUUUAGCUCCAUAUCUUCAGGAGAAAAAUAAAAUUUUUAGACCAGUGGUUCCCAAUCUUUUUGGCUUAUCACAAGCUAAAGUAGAAACACGAGCUGUGAACAAUUCAACCAAAGAUUGAUUUUUCCUUCUCGGGUUGUGUCAUCUGAAGGAUUUGUUGCAGCCGGAGGAGGUAAAAGUAUCCAGCAUUUCACAAAAAAAAAAAAUAAAGACAUUCAAGAAAAGCUAAGUUCAACUUUUGAGUGCUGGCUGAGUGCAACAGAUCAUGAAUCAAACUCAGGAAACAACAGGAGGGGGAAAAAUGCUGAUUUGGAUGAAGUGGUGGUUGCGAGUACAGGCUGCAGCCUCCUGUUCUCCUUCAGACAGCUGAUAUUUGCCAUGAUAUGAGACUGCAGGCGUAGUGAUACACUGGUCUACAACAAAGUAGUUCCGAGACAGAAAUGAUUUGUACAACCCUGUUGUAGGCGUUUACAGUUUUUUAAUCAAAUGUUUCAAAUGUGUCGUGGCUUAAAAUGUUUGUUGCAGCUCAGUCUGGAAAACUCCCAGAGCUCAUAUUCAUACAUCAAUAUCAGUUACGUCUAAAAAUCUGAACUUUAAACACUGUAAAAAGGUAUAAAUGUCUAAAAAGCCCUUUAAUAAUGGGACUAAAACUGAAAUACUUUGACCUUUCUCUGAUUGUUUACAUGGAAAUAUGUAACUCAGACUGUUGCAAUCCAAGAAAUCACAGUCGGUAUGUGGGAGAGAGAAACAAACACUCAGAGCUUAUAUAAACUGAAUGACAGGCAACACACACACACAUUCCCUUCAUCUCUCUUCAUUCAAAGGGCAGAGCUUUCCAUAGAAGGAGGGAUUGUGUUGGAUUGGACGGAGGGAGGGGGAGACGGGGGAGACGGGGGGAGGUAGAGGGGGUCAGCACUAUGAGUCAGCACACACACAGGUCGUUGUGUUACCAUAGAGACAGCCGAGUUGGUCAGCGUAAAAGCAGGAAGGACGCUGCCAGACUGUUAAUGUGGAGUCUCGGUGGGGGAGGAGUCAGAGAGGGGACCUCAUUAACCUCUGACCUCGUCAUUCUUGGCCGCUAAUAACUACAAUUUCUGAGUGAUGUUUGACCUUUGACCCCAGCAAGUUCAGCACCGGCUCGGUUUCGUUUUGAUCUCAUCUCUGCAGGUUCAAAGUCGAAGGCGUGUUUGUGUGUGAGUAGGCCGCAUGCCAACAGGUAGGCAGCUAUAAACUUAAAGUGACAGACAAAAUGGAUAAAGUGUUCAUGUGGACUGUUAUGAAGAGAAAAUGUAUUGUUUUGGGCCUCAAAGCAUCUCUAAUGAAGUCAAACUGCAAUUUGAGAUCUCCUCCUUUUUGGUUUGAGAGCUAUAUUUGAAAAUUUCACACUUGUCUGCUACUAUCUACUGAUCUCUGAGCAGCUCCAGCAGUUGGGGUUGAAGGGCCUUGCUCAAGUGCACAGCAGUGGUGGUAAUCCAGGGUUCGAACCGGCGACCAUCUGUCCGCCACGAGCCUGCUGCUCUAUGACACCGCUGCCACAAGAAGGUAAACGUGAAAACACCAUCACUGCAGAAAAAUAAUGGUAGUGACCAUUUUGAAUGCCAAUCUCUGAAUAACAGCAUGCACAUAACAUAUAAUAAGAAGUCUAAACAUAAUAUAUAAACUGUGUAUAUACUCACAUAUCUAUCAUUUACUUUGUUUAAAGUUAGUUAUCUGUAUUUGUACCUCUGCUGCUGUGACUCUUGAAAUUCAUUGAGUGGGAUCAAUAGGUUAUCUAACCUUAUCCAUCAAUAGAUGCAUAUAAAACAUCCACUGUAUGAAGUAACCGAUUACGUUAUCCAAUAUAUAUUUCAGAAUUCUUUACACAAUUUGCAGCCCUUUCUAUAUUGUUAACAUAAUCAUAAUCUGACCUCAAUAUAGAUACUUGAAGUUGUUUUUAUAUAUACAUGCCUAUAUAGUAUAUGUAUCUUUGUUCUUACCUGUACAUAAUAGCUGUAUUUUUAUGUUUAGCUGUAUGUCUAUGCAUAUCUUCCUGUGCACUUGUUUUUGUCUCAAUAUUUAGAGCUACUGAGUCAAAUUCAUUGUAUGCUUUGACAUACUUAAUAAAGUUGAUUGUGAUGAAAAGGAUUUUUAAUUUAAACUGAACAUAAAAUGUGUAUUCUGUGCUGUAAACAUGCACCCAUGUACAUUUUCUCUCCAUGUGUGAAGGAUGGAAAUGAAAAUGGAAUACUGUACCUCUACCUGCAGUGUUCCCACUGUUCCCAGUUCCUGUUCGUAACCCCACCCACUUUGACCGCCCCAGUGAAUGCACAGAGAGCGCCACUUUAACGUUUAAGCAACAUGUUUAUUGAAAUAAAAUCUCGCUUUUAGCUGUAAAAAUCACAACAAAAAAGAAAAAUACUGUACAUGUAUUUCCCCAGAGAAGAAGAGUACAUGAUUGAGCAGCUGUGUGAUGGAGUUGGUAUGAUGCUGUGUGACUUUAAAUCCAACUAGACGCUGUGAAGUGUGACGCCUGCGAGCUCAAGUGCUCAACAGGCUAAAUAUUAACCCAGCAGAAGCGAUAGCAAGCUGCUAACACCAGCAGGAACUCUGCUAAACUAACCAAACAAGGAAACACAGUCUGAACUUCAGCUCCAUAUAAUAUAUGAUAGUGAUGACAGUGAAUAUGCAGGUGUGUGUGUGCGUGUGUGAGUCUUUGGUACAGGUAUUUAGAUGGUUUGAA